AAACCAUGAUUCGGGAUCUUCUGCAAAUAUUCCUUGAAUAUCUCUCAAGCUUCAUAUAGUUGUUCCCCCGGUCGCUGCUUAAACUCAUAAAUCUUGUCAUGAAUUU